rnacentral:rRNA from 1 species
UACGUAGGGUGCGAGCGUUGUCCGGAAUUACUGGGCGUAAAGAGCUCGUAGGUGGUUUGUCGCGUUGUUCGUGAAAACUCACAGCUCAACUGUGGGCGUGCGGGCGAUACGGGCAGACUAGAGUACUGCAGGGGAGACUGGAAUUCCUGGUGUAGCAGUGAAAUGCGUAGAUAUCAGGAGGAAUACCGAUGGCGAAGGCAGGUCUCUGGGCUGACACUGACGCUCAUGCACGAAAGCGUGGGGAGCGAACAGG